AUCCAAAAAGUUACUAGGCCUUGUUUGUUUCUCCAUCCAUAUGGAUCAUCUAGAUGGAGAUGAAAAAUGAUGUUUGUUUUUUACAAAUUAACAGAUCAUUUAGAUGAAUCAUUUGGAUGUUCCAUGUGAAUGACUUUGUAAAUUUAGGCUAAUUUGUGAAACUCAUUUGGAU